rnacentral:rRNA from 1 species
CCCCUAGACGUUCUGGGCUGCACGCGCGCUACAAUAAUACGCACAGCGAGUAUCACCGAGCUCGAAAGGGCAAGGUAAACAAUAGAAAAGGUACUGUAAUGGUUAUAGAUCCUUGUAAUUAUUGAUCUUCAACGAGGAAUUCCUAGUAAGUAUGUGUCAUCAUCACGCACUGAUUACGUCCCUGCCCUUUGUACACACCGCCCGCCGCUCCUACCGAUUGAGUGAGCCGAUGAAACUGCCGGAUGUGGACUAUUCAUAGUCUGCAGAAGAUAUUUGAAUCGUAGCGCUUAGAGGAAGGAGAAGUCGUAACA